AGAGUUUGAUCCUGGCUCAGGAUGAACGCUAGCGGCAGGCCUAACACAUGCAAGUCGAGGGGCAGCACGGUGUAGCAAUACACUGGUGGCGACCGGCGCACGGGUGCGUAACGCGUAUGCAACCUACCCAUAACAGGGGGAUAACACUGAGAAAUUGGUACUAAUACCCCAUAACAUCAGGACCGGCAUCGGUUCUGGUUGAAAACUCCGGUGGUUAUGGAUGGGCAUGCGUUGUAUUAGCUGGUUGGUGAGGUAACGGCUCACCAAGGCAACGAUACAUAGGGGGACUGAGAGGUUAACCCCCCACAUUGGUACUGAGACACGGACCAAACUCCUACGGGAGGCAGCAGUGAGGAAUAUUGGUCAAUGGCCGAGAGGCUGAACCAGCCAAGUCGCGUGAAGGAAGAAGGAUCUAUGGUUUGUAAACUUCUUUUAUAGGGGAAUAAAGUGGAGGACGUGUCCUUUUUUGUAUGUACCCUAUGAAUAAGCAUCGGCUAACUCCGUGCCAGCAGCCGCGGUAAUACGGAGGAUGCGAGCGUUAUCCGGAUUUAUUGGGUUUAAAGGGUGCGUAGGCGGCACGCCAAGUCAGCGGUGAAAUUUCCGGGCUCAACCCGGAGUGUGCCGUUGAAACUGGCGAGCUAGAGUACACAAGAGGCAGGCGGAAUGCGUGGUGUAGCGGUGAAAUGCAUAGAUAUCACGCAGAACCCCGAUUGCGAAGGCAGCCUGCUAGGGUGAAACAGACGCUGAGGCACGAAAGCGUGGGUAUCGAACAGGAUUAGAUACCCUGGUAGUCCACGCAGUAAACGAUGAAUACUAACUGUUUGCGAUACAAUGUAAGCGGUACAGCGAAAGCGUUAAGUAUUCCACCUGGGGAGUACGCCGGCAACGGUGAAACUCAA
rnacentral:rRNA from 1 species